rnacentral:rRNA from 1 species
ACCGUGCAAAGGUAGCAUAAUCAUUAGUUUUUUAAUUAAAAGCUGGAAUGAAUGGUUGGACGAGAAAGUGACUGUCUCAAUUUAAAUUAAUAUAGAAUUUUAUUUAUAAGUAAAAAAGCUUAUAUGCAUUUAAAAGACGAGAAGACCCUAUAGAGUUUUAUAGUUUAUUUUAUUAUUUAAUUUUAGUAUUUUUAUAUAAUUAAUAAAAUUAACUAUUUUGCUGGGGCAGCAGAAAAAUUAAUAUAACUUUUUUUUUAUUUGAAUACAUUGAUUUAUGAUUUAAUGAUCCAUUUUUUAUGAUUAUAAGAUUAAAUUACCUUAGGGAUAACAGCGUAAUUUUUUUUUAGAGUUCUUAUCGAAAAAAGAGUUU